rnacentral:rRNA from 1 species
GACAGAGGAGGCGAGCGUUAUCCGGAGUUAUUGGGCGUAAAGGGUACGUAGGCGGCUGGUCAAGUCUGGGUUUAAAGACCACAGCUUAACUGUGGGGGGGUCUUGGAAACUGACCGGCUGGAGUGGGGCAGGGGUUGCGGGAAUUCCCGGUGUAGCGGUGAAAUGCGUAGAGAUCGGGAAGAACACCUGAGGCGAAAGCGCGCAACUGGGGCCUAACUGACGCUGAGGUACGAAAGCUAGGGGAGCGAAUGGG